ensembl:lncRNA
CAAUUUGCAGGUGUUUUUUGCAAGUAACACAGAGUAAUGUUUCUUUGGUGUCCGCCAACAGCCACUUGAAGACCCCAGUGUGGGAUUUAGUUGUUGUAAGCCAGACAGAUUUUUUCAGGUGAGGGUUGGGUGGGUGUAAGAGCAUAAGGGUGGAUGAUGUUCAGGGUAGUAAGUGGGGAGUGGGUUUACCAGGUGUCUCUACAAUUCAAAAAUCUAUGUCGCUGUAGUGUUAUUUCCCAUCACCGCAUUAGAUCUUAGAAACUGUUUAGCGAUCCAAAUUUUUUUUAACAAGUCACACUGAAAUCCAAAAUGUGAUUCUAAAUCAAAGGACAAGAAUAUUGAAAAAAAUCAGCAAAUUUUCACUCGCAGACAAGGUUUUAAGUUUUCACAUUUAGUUUUCUUUUCAUUUGUCUAGACCUACGCGUGGUAGCCAUGUGUUUUUUUUUUUUUUUUUUAAUUUUUAGUCUUCACUCCCUGUCAUUGUUGAUGAUAUAGCACUUGUCACUCUGCCUUGGAUUCUGUAUCUGUCUCUCUAAUCGGAGGUACAGUCGGUUGAGUAUAAAAUGAGUACCGGAUUUCAGGUCUGGUACUGCCUACGUGCACUGUUCAAUUUUCCCAGUUUACAGUCGGACGCUCAAGGGAAAACUAGCUCUUAUGCUGACAGAUUAGUGUGGUGUCAUUGCUUUGCAUUAAAAGAAAAAAAGAAGAAAAAAAAGAAGAAAAAGAACGUUGAACUAGAAACUGUUGCCAGCCAUGUCUCCUUCUGAGAACUAAACAUUGGUUUGGAUCUUGGAAGUAAUAAUGCAGGAACUGCCAUAGAAACAUCCUGCUUCAUACUACAAACUAUAGAAAUAUACUGCUCAGUACAGAAAAAUAAAAAUUCUACAAAUUUGAUUUAAACAGAUAAGUAAAAUGUGCUGUUGAUUUUUUAAAAAAAAAAGUAAAACAUCAAUAUCUUUAGGGGAGAACCUUAUUUAAAUUUUGUUUGUUUACUGUUGUUUCUCUUUUCUGUCCUGGAGACACCAGGACUUGAUCACUAUGUAAUGAACUGUAAUGUCUCUCAUGUUUUUUGCCUUUACUAUACACAAGUCUUCAGGUUGAACAAAAAUUUGCAUUGGGGAGAGAUUUAUGAUAUAUAAAUAUAUAGAGAGAACUUAAAAUACUUAGGAAAUUGCACACUCAUGUAAGUUCCUAUGUUCAAAACACAUUUAUGGUCUACUUUUUUUCCUGUAUUUAGAAUGGUAUUUGAAAUUAAUGUUCACUUAGUGUAGGCACUUAUAGUAUUUAUGUUGGAGCCUGUAUUUUUAACUGUUUUGCCUGUACUCUUUAAAGGUUUCAAUGUACCCUUUUUCUGUAGUGAAAAAAAAAUCCCAACAAGCUGCCACCGUAUAUUUUCUUAAUUUGGCAGGAUAAUAUAGUGUGAAUAAUUUGUAUGCUUGAAAAUAAGUAUUUCUGAAAAAUAAAAUGUUGUGGUGUUCCCCAAGGGUGAGAGGUCAUAUGAUGGCCUUUUCAGGCAGUCCCGCUGGAGUGACCACAAUGAGUUAUGGAGAUGCCACUCUAUUUUCAGCCGUUGUCUGCAUUAUUCUCUUCACUCAGCCAUUUUGUCUUGAAAAAUAAUAAAAAGUAUUACAUACAUAUUUGAAUUUGGUGCUUUUAUUAAUUUUUUUUGUCAUAGUAUGCACAGUCACAAU